rnacentral:lncRNA from 1 species
GUGAAAACUGUCUCCCGGUGUAAAAAUGGGCAACUAUGGGUUAACUGUGUAACUAUGCUUGCUGAGAAAGAUACAUUGUAACCAGUCACUACUGUAAUACAAACUCACUAGAGCAAAGCAAUCCCAGAAAGCCCUGCCAAACUUCCUGCUCCCACCUUCACUGCCCCUUUGCCUAUGUAAUUGUGUUUAGAUUGAUGGCUGUUUUCCCAGUGAUUACGGUUGCUGUUUCCCCCUCCCAUAGAAACAUAAAGGUAUAAAAACGAGAGUAAACUUCUGUUUGACAUUUUUGAGGUGAUCUGAAUCCCUUGAAGCUGCCAGCGAUAAAGCUGAUUUUUGCUCCUACUUAUGUGGUCAGUGGUCUGUCCGGAGACCCUCAAGCGGUCACACUUCACUUCUAAGGGUCAUUUAAAUUUUAGAAAUAUCACUAGGCAGCUGGGUGGAAGAUAGAUGGAAGGAGAAGAUAUUGCAGUGCAGAUGGUACCAGCAGUUGAUUACAACAAUCAGAGAAGGAACGGCAUUUCAAUCCAAUUCAACAAAUCCUGUGAUCCUACUGGAUGCACAGUACAGGAGCAGGAAGAUGAGUUUGACAUAGUUUGUUUCCAGAGGUUAUUAACAUAAAGACGAGAAGCUGAAAGCAGAAAGAAGUGAAGAAUUUCACCUAUGGCUACUCAGAAGAGGACCUGGGAUGAAAACCAGCCUGACCCUGGGCUCAUCUGUUGACUCUAGGGUGUCCUGGAAUCAAUCACCUAGGAUACUGAGGGAUGAUUGUAUUGGCUUUAAGGUUCAGAGAGACACAAACAUUUCCUACCCUUUGAGAUGGUUACUGGAGCUGAUGGAAGAGGCCAGGCAGACAGUGAGAGUGAAUUAUGUUCACAGACCCAGAUAGCGCUCACCGACCCAGAUAAUGUUCACCCAUGGACAAAGCAAAACCACCAGGUUCAUCUGUCUCCAAAUCUUGUGAUUGACAAGGGAAAAGGAUUCAUGAAGUGGGACCUGUGACACAAAUUGCAUGUGUGAAUGUACCUGGCACUUACCUGUUGUGCAUAUCACUAUACUGGAUGGUAUUUUACCUCCUUGAAAAGAGCUGAGGAGCUUAACAGCAACUAAUAUUACAACAACACCCGUCUCUAUGCCGCCACUAGACUGAGAGUGCUUUGUCCUUCCUGUUCCUGCCAGAUUUUAAAUGGAUGUGGUUUUAUUCCUCUUCUCAUCUAAUAUUGGAACAUAUCAACCUCCAGCAAGACACCAUUUAGAAAAGCUGUUCUUAUGUU